UACGGAGGGUGCGAGCGUUGUCCGGAAUCACUGGGCGUAAAGAGCUCGUAGGCGGUUUGUCGCGUCGGGAGUGAAAACUCAGGGCUCAACCCUGAGCGUGCUUCCGAUACGGGCUGACUAGAGGUAUGCAGGGGAGAACGGAAUUCCUGGUGUAGCGGUGGAAUGCGCAGAUAUCAGGAGGAACACCGGUGGCGAAGGCGGUUCUCUGGGCAUUACCUGACGCUGAGGAGCGAAAGCAUGGGGAGCGAACAGG
rnacentral:rRNA from 1 species